rnacentral:rRNA from 1 species
CAUAAGCCCACGACCCGGCAUCGGGUAGAGGGAAAAGGAGCAAUCCGCUUUGAGAUGGCCUCGCGUCCGAUUAGCUAGUUGGUGAGGUAACGGCCCACCAAGGCGACGAUCGGUAGCCGGACUGAGAGGUUGAACGGCCACAUUGGGACUGAAACACGGCCCAGACUCCUACGAGAGGCAGCAGUGGGGAAUAUUGCACAAUGGGGGAAACCCUGAUGCAGCGACGCCGCGUGGAGGAAGAAGGUCUUCGGAUUGUAAACUCCUGUUGUUGAGGAAGAUAAUGACGGUACUCAACAAGGAAGUGACGGCUAACUACGUGCCAGCAGCCGCGGUAAAACAUAGGUCACAAGCGUUGUCCGGAAUUACUGGGUGUAAAGGGAGCGCAGGCGUGAAGACAAGUUGGAAGUGAAAUCCAUGGGCUCAACCCAUGAACUGCUUUCAAAACUGUUUUUCUUGAGUAGUGCAGAGGUAGGCGGAAUUCCCGGUGUAGCGGUGGAAUGCGUAGAUAUCGGGAGGAACACCAGUGGCGAAGGCGGCCUACUGGGCACCAACUGACGCUGAGGCUCGAAAGUGUGGGUAGCAAACAGGAUUAGAUACCCUGGUAGUCCACACUGUAAACGAUGAUUAAAAGGUGUUGGAGGAUUGACCCCUCAAGUGCCGCAGUUAACACAAAAAGUAAUCCCACAUGGGGAGUACGCCCGCAAGGUUGAAACUCGAAGGAAUUGACGGGGGCCCGCACAAGCAAGUGGAGUAUGUGGUUUAAUUCGAAGCAACGCGAAGAACCUUACCAAGUCUUGACAUCCCUUGACGAUGCUGGAAACAGUAUUUCUCUUCGGAGCAAGGAGACAGGUGGUGCAUGGUUGUCGUCAGCUCGUGUCGUGAGAUGUUGGGUUAAGUCCCGCAACGAGCGCAACCCUUAUGGUCAGUUACUACGCAAGAGGACUCUGGCCAGACUGCCGUUGACAAAACGGAGGAAGGUGGGGACGACGUCAGGUCAGUAUGGCCCUUAUGCCCAGGGCUGCACACGUACUACAAUGCCCAGUACAGAGGGGGCCGAAGCCGCGAGGCGGAGGAAAUCCUGAAAACUGGGCCCAGUUCGGACAGUAGGCUGCAACCCGCCUACAUGAAGCCGGAAUCGCUAGUAAUGGCGCAUCAGCUACGGCGCCGUGAAUACAAAGGCGGGUCUUGUACUCUCCGCCCGUCA